AUACGGAGGGUGCGAGCGUUAUCCGGAAUCAUUGGGUUUAAAGGGUCCGUAGGCGGGAAUCUAAGUCAGUGGUGAAAUCUUGCAGCUCAACUGUAAAAUUGCCAUUGAUACUGGAUUUCUUGAAUUAGUGUGAAGUGAUUAGAAUGUGUAGUGUAGCGGUGAAAUGCAUAGAUAUUACACAGAAUACCAAUUGCGAAGGCAGAUCACUAACACUAUAUUGACGCUGAGGGACGAAAGCGUGGGGAGCGAACAGGAUUAGAAACCCUAGUAGUCC
rnacentral:rRNA from 1 species